rnacentral:rRNA from 1 species
CCUACGGGGGGCAGCAGUGAGGAAUAUUGGUCAAUGGGCGCAAGCCUGAACCAGCCAUGCCGCGUGCAGGAUGACGGCCCUACGGGUUGUAAACUUCUUUUGUACGGAGGUAAAUUCAGUCGCGUGUACCUGUUUGAAUUUACUUUAUGAAUAAUGAUCGGCUAACUCCGUGCCAGCAGCCGCGGUAAUACGGAGGUUCCGAGCGUUAUCCGGAUUUAUUGGGUUUAAAGGGAACGUAGAUGGGUUGAUAAGUCAGUUGUGAAAGUUCGGGGCUCAACCGUAGAAGUGCACUUGAUACUGGCAGCCUUGAGUACAGUUGAGGUAGGCGGAAUUCGUGGUGUAGCGGUGAAAUGCGUAGAGAUCACGAAGAACACCGAUUGCGAAGGCAGCUUACUAAACUGCGACUGACAUUGAGGUGCGAAAGCGUGGGGAGCAAACAGGAUUAGAUACCCUAGUAGUC